UACGGAGGGGGCUAGCGUUGUUCGGAAUUACUGGGCGUAAAGCGCACGUAGGCGGCUUUGUAAGUUAGAGGUGAAAGCCCGGGGCUCAACCUCGGAACUGCCUUUGAUACUGCAAAUCUCGAGUCCGGAAGAGGUGAGUGGAAUUCCUAGUGUAGAGGUGAAAUUCGUAGAUAUUAGGAGGAACACCAGUGGCGAAGGCGGCUCACUGGUCCGGUACUGACGCUGAGGUGCGAAAGCGUGGGGAGCAAACAGG
rnacentral:rRNA from 1 species